AGAAUGUAUUCUUGGGGUCGAGUCCGUUCCAAGACUCGAAUAAAGAAGCAUGAGAAGUGCAUUGGGAGCGGGAGUGGGAGGAGUACAGCAUUUUCUUCUCCCUUUUCCAAGUUUCCGAAUCGCCAACUAUUCUUUCAACUUUUGCACUCCCCACAAGCGAAUCCCUACCAUAGGGUUUCUCCGUUGCACAGCCAUGCCGACUGUCAUACCUGCGCCAGUCGUUCAAGUCAAGGAGAGGAUUGAACUGACCGUCACCGAGAGGAACAUCUUUGACAGGCUUCUCGGCACUCUUCGCCACUUCGGUCUCAGCAAUCAGCUCCGAGUUGCCGGCGGCUGGGUCCGCGACAAGCUUUUAGGAAAAGAGUGUUACGAUAUUGAUAUCGCGCUGGACAAUAUGUUGGGGAGUGAAUUUGUUGAGAAGGUGAGGGAGUACCUGUUGUCUAAUGGGGAACAAGUACAAGGGGUUGCUGUUAUUCCAAGCAAUCCUGAGCAGUCCAAGCAUUUAGAAACAGCAAGAAUGCGGCUGUUUGAUAUGUGGAUUGACUUUGUAAACUUACGGUGUGAAGAGUACAGUGAUAAUAGCCGCAUUCCUACAAAGGAAAAAAAAAAGGAUUUCAUGACUGCAGAAAACUCUUGGGUUCAAUACAGGAAAUGGUUAAUGAGCUUUGUCAAUUUCUUUGUGACAUGGAUGCUUAGGACUCGUGCGUGUCAAAAAUUUGGCACAGCAGAAGAGGAUGCUUACAGAAGGGAUCUAACCAUCAACAGCUUGUUCUACAAUAUUAACACUAAUACAGUAGAAGAUUUUACUAAGAGAGGCAUUGCAGACCUAAAAUCUGGAAAGAUAGUGACGCCAUUACCUCCGAAGGCUACUUUUUUGGACGAUCCAUUACGAGUUCUUCGAGCUAUCCGUUUUGGAGCAAGAUUUGGAUUCAUAUUAGAUGAAGAUCUAAAGGAAGCUGCUUCCUGUGAUGAAGUGAAAGAUGCUCUUGCAGCUAAAAUCAGCAGAGAGAGGAUUGGAGUUGAAAUUGAUCUCAUGAUCUCUGGAAAUCAGCCAGUUAAAGCAAUGACCUACAUUUGUGAUUUGAUGUUAUUUCCAAUUGUCUUCAGCUUUCCUCCCAAGUUUGAGCCUUCCAAAUCAGAAAGCUGUGAUAGGCUUUGCAAUGCCUACUUGGAUGCUACAUGGAACCUUAUUCAAUUAAUUGGAGGAUCUAUUUUCAGUGAUGAACAACGAAGACUUUCAUUGUAUGCUACUUUGUUUCUCCCAUUUAGAAAGACCAUAUAUAAAGACCACAAGGCGAAAAAGAUACCUGUUGUCAACUACAUUUUCCGGGAGUCUCUUAAACGAAAAGCCAGUGAUUCUGAAACAGUUAUAAAUAUACAUGGUGCAGUGGACAAAUUCUUAUCUCUGAUUCCUUUCCUUGUGUCUGAUGGGGACAUUGAACUCAUUGAAGUUGACUGGGGAAGGGGAUUGGAUGAUGUCCCUCCUACUUCAAAACUUCGGGUACUGACAGGUUUACUUCUACGAGAAAUCAAAGAUUUUUGGCGUGUGGCCUUGUUGUUGUCUACACUGUUAUAUCCCACCGAUGUUGAUUAUACUGAAGAUUUUUUAAAGCAGCACUUUCAAUUGGCCGAGAGAAAAGAUCUAUUCAAGGCAGUUGAAAAUGCCAUUACUGAAUUAGUGCAGGUCUUGAGAAAGUGUGGGAUGUAAAACCAUUGCUGAAUGGUAAGGGUAUUAUGAGUGUUUUGGAGCUUAAAGCUGGAGGACCACUUGUUAGGGAGUGGCAAGAAAAACAGCUUGCAUGGCAACUUGCCCAUCCCUCUGGAGCUGUGGAGGAAUGCCUUGAUUGGAUGAAGCAGACCCAUUCUAAGCGUUUAAAGACGGAGUAACCAUUGAAUCUCUGUGAUCCACAUCCACUCAUGGCGAAUCUCUCGACUGCCCCAAAUUGGUUACACACUUCUGGUUUGCACUGAGAGAUCAGCUGUGCUAGUUGCCCCAAGUUGCUGAGACAUUGUGUGGUUGGUGACGGGCUUCCCGAAAAUGUUCGUGUGUUUGUUGGAACGUCAUUUCCAUGCUUUUUGGUAGGGAAAUGCAUUUAUUUUUCACCUUCUUUUUUAUCACAUGGCUGGGAUCCAACUUUGACGGGGGUUUAUUCUAUCUCUCCGCUCUGCCUUGUCGGUGUUUGAAGUAUAAUAGUGAAGCAAUGCAUAUGGUGAGAAUAGCUAUUGGAAUGUCUCAAAAUUCCAAAUCAAGUGA